rnacentral:rRNA from 1 species
CCUGGUAAGCGGGGAAUAACCCGUGAAAGACGGACUAAUACCGCAUAAUACUAAAUUACUGCAUGGUAAUUUAUUUAAACAUUUAUGGCUUACAGAUGGGCAUGCGCAUGAUUAGCUAGUUGGAGAGGUAACGGCUCCCCAAGGCAACGAUCAUUAGGGGUUCUGAGAGGAAGGUCCCCCCACACUGGUACUGAGACACGGACCAGACUCCUACGGGAGGCAGCAGUGAGGAAUAUUGGUCAAUGGACGAGAGUCUGAACCAGCCAAGUCGCGUGCAGGAAGAAUGUUCCCUAUGGAUUGUAAACUGCUUUUGCAGGGGAAUAAAGUGCAUCACGUGUGAUGUUUUGUAUGUACUCUGCGAAUAAGGAUCGGCUAACUCCGUGCCAGCCGCAGC